rnacentral:rRNA from 1 species
ACGAAGGGGGCUAGCGUUGUUCGGAAUCACUGGGCGUAAAGGGCGCGUAGGCGGCUUUAUAAGUCGGGGGUGAAAGCCUGUGGCUCAACCACAGAAUUGCCUUCGAUACUGUAUGGCUUGAGACCGGAAGAGGUUAGUGGAACUGCGAGUGUAGAGGUGAAAUUCGUAGAUAUUCGCAAGAACACCAGUGGCGAAGGCAGCUGACUGGUCCGGAUCUGACGCUGAGGCGCGAAAGCUAGGGGAGCAAACAGGA